rnacentral:rRNA from 1 species
AGAUUGAACGCUGGCGGCAUGCCUUACACAUGCAAGUCGAACGGCAGCACGGGAGCAAUCCUGGUGGCGAGUGGCGAACGGGUGAGUAAUACAUCGGAACGUGCCCAAUCGUGGGGGAUAACGCAGCGAAAGCUGUGCUAAUACCGCAUAAGAUCUACGGAUGAAAGCAGGGGAUCGCAAGACCUUGCGCGAAUGGAGCGGCCGAUGGCAGAUUAGGUAGUUGGUGAGGUAAAGGCUCACCAAGCCUUCGAUCUGUAGCUGGUCUGAGAGGACGACCAGCCACACUGGGACUGAGACACGGCCCAGACUCCUACGGGAGGCAGCAGUGGGGAAUUUGGACAAUGGGCGAAAGCCUGAUCCAGCCAUGCCGCGUGCAGGAUGAAGGCGUUCGGUUGUAACUGCUUUUGUACGGAACGAAAGUCUACUUUCUAAUAAGAGGUAUACAUGACGGUACCGUAAGAAUAAGACACCGGUACUAACCGUACGUACCG